rnacentral:rRNA from 1 species
CUACGUGCCAGCAGCCGCGGUAAUACGUAGGGCGCGAGCGUUGUCCGGAAUUAUUGGGCGUAAAGAGCUUGUAGGCGGUUGGUCGCGUCUGCUGUGAAAGGCCGGGGCUUAACUCCGGUUUUGCAGUGGGUACGGGCUAACUAGAGUGCAGUAGGGGAGACUGGAAUUCCUGGUGUAGCGGUGGAAUGCACAGAUAUCAGGAGGAACACCGAUGGCGAAGGCAGGUCUCUGGGCUGUAACUGACGCUGAGAAGCGAAAGCAUGGGGAGCGAACAGGAUUAGAUACCCUGGUAGUCCAUGCCGUAAACGUUGGGCACUAGGUGUGGGGGACAUUCCACGUUUUCCGCGCCGUAGCUAACGCAUUAAGUGCCCCGCCUGGGGAGUACGGCCGCAAGGCUAAAACUCAAAGGAAUUGACGGGGGCCCGCACAAGCGGCGGAGCAUGUGGUUUAAUUCGAUGGUACGCGAGGAACCUUACCUGGGUUUGACGUCUAGUAGAAGGUCUUA